GGGUUGUGAGGUUAAGCGACUAAGCGUACACGGUGGAUGCCCUGGCAGUCAGAGGCGAUGAAGGGCGUGCUAAUCUGCGAUAAGCGCCGGUAAGGUGAUAUGAACCGUUAUAACCGGCGAUACCCGAAUGGGGAAACCCAGUGUGACUCGUCACACUAUCAUUAACUGAAUCCAUAGGUUAAUGAGGCGAACCGGGGGAACUGAAACAUCUAAGUACCCCGAGGAAAAGAAAUCAACCGAGAUUCCCCCAGUAGCGGCGAGCGAACGGGGAGGAGCCCAGAGCCUGAAUCAGCAUGUGUGUUAGUGGAAGCGUCUGGAAAGGCGCGCGAUACAGGGUGACAGCCCCGUACACAAAAGCGCAUGUGCUGUGAGCUCGAUGAGUAGGGCGGGACACGUGGUAUCCUGUCUGAAUAUGGGGGGACCAUCCUCCAAGGCUAAAUACUCCUGACUGACCGAUAGUGAACCAGUACCGUGAGGGAAAGGCGAAAAGAACCCCGGCGAGGGGAGUGAAAAAGAACCUGAAACCGUGUACGUACAAGCAGUGGGAGNNNNNNNNNNNNNNNNNNNNUGCGUACCUUUUGUAUAAUGGGUCAGCGACUUAUAUUCUGUAGCAAGGUUAACCGAAUAGGGGAGCCGGAGGGAAACCGAGUCUUAAUUGGGCGUUAAGUUGCAGGGUAUAGACCCGAAACCCGGUGAUCUAGCCAUGGGCAGGUUGAAGGUUGGGUAACACUAACUGGAGGACCGAACCGACUAAUGUUGAAAAAUUAGCGGAUGACCUGUGGCUGGGGGUGAAAGGCCAAUCAAACCGGGAGAUAGCUGGUUCUCCCCGAAAGCUAUUUAGGUAGCGCCUCGUGAAUUCAUCUCCGGGGGUAGAGCACUGUUUCGGCUAGGGGGCCAUCCCGGCUUACCAACCCGAUGCAAACUGCGAAUACCGGAGAAUGUUAUCACGGGAGACACACGGCGGGUGCUAACGUCCGUCGUGAAGAGGGAAACAACCCAGACCGCCAGCUAAGGUCCCAAAGUCAUGGUUAAGUGGGAAACGAUGUGGGAAGGCCCAGACAGCCAGGAUGUUGGCUUAGAAGCAGCCAUCAUUUAAAGAAAGCGUAAUAGCUCACUGGUCGAGUCGGCCUGCGCGGAAGAUGUAACGGGGCUAAACCAUGCACCGAAGCUGCGGCAGCGACACUGUGUGUUGUUGGGUAGGGGAGCGUUCUGUAAGCCUGCGAAGGUGGCCUGUGAGGGUUGCUGGAGGUAUCAGAAGUGCGAAUGCUGACAUAAGUAACGAUAAAGCGGGUGAAAAGCCCGCUCGCCGGAAGACCAAGGGUUCCUGUCCAACGUUAAUCGGGGCAGGGUGAGUCGACCCCUAAGGCGAGGCCGAAAGGCGUAGUCGAUGGGAAACGGGUUAAUAUUCCCGUACUUGGUGUUACUGCGAAGGGGGGACGGAGAAGGCUAUGUUGGCCGGGCGACGGUUGUCCCGGUUUAAGCGUGUAGGUGUGUGUUCCAGGUAAAUCCGGUUCACUUUAACACUGAGGCGUGACGACGAGGCACUACGGUGCUGAAGCAACAAAUGCCCUGCUUCCAGGAAAAGCCUCUAAGCAUCAGGUAACAUCAAAUCGUACCCCAAACCGACACAGGUGGUCAGGUAGAGAAUACCAAGGCGCUUGAGAGAACUCGGGUGAAGGAACUAGGCAAAAUGGUGCCGUAACUUCGGGAGAAGGCACGCUGACACGUAGGUGAAGUGAUUUACUCAUGGAGCUGAAGUCAGUCGAAGAUACCAGCUGGCUGCAACUGUUUAUUAAAAACACAGCACUGUGCAAACACGAAAGUGGACGUAUACGGUGUGACGCCUGCCCGGUGCCGGAAGGUUAAUUGAUGGGGUCAGCGCAAGCGAAGCUCCUGAUCGAAGCCCCGGUAAACGGCGGCCGUAACUAUAACGGUCCUAAGGUAGCGAAAUUCCUUGUCGGGUAAGUUCCGACCUGCACGAAUGGCGUAAUGAUGGCCAGGCUGUCUCCACCCGAGACUCAGUGAAAUUGAACUCGCUGUGAAGAUGCAGUGUACCCGCGGCAAGACGGAAAGACCCCGUGAACCUUUACUAUAGCUUGACACUGAACAUUGAGCCUUGAUGUGUAGGAUAGGUGGGAGGCUUUGAAGUGUGGACGCCAGUCUGCAUGGAGCCGACCUUGAAAUACCACCCUUUAAUGUUUGAUGUUCUAACGUGGACCCGUUACCCGGGUUGCGGACAGUGUCUGGUGGGUAGUUUGACUGGGGCGGUCUCCUCCUAAAGAGUAACGGAGGAGCACGAAGGUUGGCUAAUCCUGGUCGGACAUCAGGAGGUUAGUGCAAUGGCAUAAGCCAGCUUGACUGCGAGCGUGACGGCGCGAGCAGGUGCGAAAGCAGGUCAUAGUGAUCCGGUGGUUCUGAAUGGAAGGGCCAUCGCUCAACGGAUAAAAGGUACUCCGGGGAUAACAGGCUGAUACCGCCCAAGAGUUCAUAUCGACGGCGGUGUUUGGCACCUCGAUGUCGGCUCAUCACAUCCUGGGGCUGAAGUAGGUCCCAAGGGUAUGGCUGUUCGCCAUUUAAAGUGGUACGCGAGCUGGGUUUAGAACGUCGUGAGACAGUUCGGUCCCUAUCUGCCGUGGGCGCUGGAGAACUGAGGGGGGCUGCUCCUAGUACGAGAGGACCGGAGUGGACGCAUCACUGGUGUUCGGGUUGUCAUGCCAAUGGCACUGCCCGGUAGCUAAAUGCGGAAGAGAUAAGUGCUGAAAGCAUCUAAGCACGAAACUUGCCCCGAGAUGAGUUCUCCCUGAGACUUAAAGUCUCCUGAAGGAACGUUGAAGACGACGACGUUGAUAGGCCGGGUGUGUAAGCGCAGCGAUGCGUUGAGCUAACCGGUACUAAUGAACCGUGAGGCUUAACCUUACAACGCCGAAG
rnacentral:rRNA from 1 species